UGUCUCUCUAACAUGAAGAGAAUUAUCCUGAAUUGCACUUGGGAGAGAGAGAAAGAUGGACAAAGAAUGAGAGCCUGCCAGAGAGAUGGAGAGAGACAUCAGUGUCCUAUUGAUUUCCCAGCGAAUGGUGUGAUUGGCUCUUCCCGGUCAUUAUGGAAUAGAGAUAGAGAGGAAUCUCACCUCUGCACUGCCUGAUCAAACUCUACAGGAAAUCCUCUUCCAGGAAACCCUCCUUCACCCCGUCAUGCCUUUAUCUGAGCUGAAAGUGUGAAUGUUCACUAGAGAGAUUCUCAGUCAUUCAUUUAUCCACUUUGAGCUCAUUUUCAUUCUCUCAUCUACCCACAUGAGGCAAUUUCACCAGAAUCAUCCCGCUUUGAAAUUCUAUCUACAAUUUUGCCAUUCAUAUGUGAUCCUGGCUUGUUCAUCUAGGCUACCUCUUUUACUUUCCUCUCCACAGGCAAGCUGAGUAAGUGAGAAGGAGAGAGAGAGAGAGAGAUGAGGGCUCAUUUUAAUGCAGUAUUUGAUUUUAGAUGUUCAGCAAGUCAUUAAACUGAUAAUUGAGACGUUCCGUUCACAUUAUCCCUCUCUUCCUGGGCCGGUCGGAAACUAGGGUGUUGGUUUCUGCGCUUCUGGACACUCGCGCGUCGAAGAAAAAGAAUUGCGCAGGUCACGGACGAGCGCGCUCGACCGCGUGGACUGUCACAGCUCUGCGGAGAAUGACGUCAGCGUCUCUAUAAAAUGAUGAAAUGUGCAUGGGCUCUGUUUCCAAACACUGGAAACUGAAGACAGACUGUUUUGCUGCAGUGAACGGUAGCCGUGGAGAGAGGAAAAGGCAAGAAAAACAAGAAGACAGCGGAGGGCGGAACGAGAACCAAGACAAACAGAUCCAUUGGGACCUUAGCGUGAGCGCCAGUAGGCAUAGACGGGUCCAACACUCCAGAACCGACGGAGCCGACGGGCAUCACGAGGAGCGCUUAAAACGGUGCGUAUUGUAACCUGCCCUCCUUUUGAGCACACAGACACGCAGGGGUAUUAUUGUCGCUGAUGUUCUGGGGCUUAUGUUGGUUGGGGUGGGGGGGUUGGAGGACACCUGUCAGGUUUGUAAAUAGGGGCACGCUCGUGCUCUGGAAUGCGCUUGCAUCCGCGCGCGCCUGUCCUCCUGACGGGCGCACCGGGCAGGAAACCGUCCAACGAGCUCGGAGGUGUUAAACUAAGAGCGAAGGGAAGGGGGUUGAUAUUAAAGUGUGCUUAGGCUUACUGUUAAUGCGCUCGAUGGUUGCUUUUCCCCCCUCGCGUUUCCCCUCCCCUCCCACCAUCCCUGCCGCUCCUUCUGCAAUCAGCGCGCUCGGACUGUGUGCACCUGCUACUGUUUUCCGUGGUUCGGUGGGGCGUCCUGGUUGCGCGGGUGAGAACGGGACUGGUGCUCAGCGGGAGGUGGGGAUAAAGAGGAGAAGUGCGAGAAAAGGGGGGAAGCGAUGAGUGAGGGAGGCGGUGCGGGUGGCUGCGUUUUGGGUCGCAUGUCAUACAAUUGCAGCAGGUAUCAUCAUCUCAUCCCAACAGUCGAGAUGAGGCGAGGCUUCGCUGCUCGCGCUGAACGAGGAGAAGUGCGAGAAAAGAAGCGAUGAGUGAGGGAGGCGGUGCGGGUGGCUGCGUUUUGGGUCGCAUGUCAUACAAUUGCAGCAGGUAUCAUCAUCUCAUCCCAACAGUCGAGAUGAGGCGAGGCUUCGCUGCUCGCGCUGAACAUCAACACACACACACACACACAGUUUGACAGCCACUGUCCGUCCUUGCCUCCCUCUCUAGUAGCAAAACAAUACAGAGCAUCUUUGCGCGCGAUCGCACGCCCGCCCCGCAGGCAACGCCAUGACUUGCACAGUUCACAAAAGCGCAAUAAGAGAGAGGAAUAGGCAGCCAAACGACCUGGACUACUGUGUGAGCGCUCGCGCGCGCGCGGUUGUGGCCACGGUCGCUUGAGGCCGCGCGCUGAAUUCUCAACGGGCGACAGGUGCACCUUCCUCUCGCGAGCGGGAGAAUAAAUGAGAGCGGUGUUAAAGGCUACCAGGAGGAUGUCGGGGACAGCUCUCUACAAAGCAAAAUUCUUGUCAAGCACGCGCUCGCUUUUACGUUGCGUUUGUCAAUUCGGAGUCGUUUUCUGGGUUACUGAGUGACGAAGGGAAUGUUUUCGAUCACUGCGUCACACAUCACACACUGCGAGUGACAAGAGACGAUCAAUGGACGCACUGGGGCAGCGCGUGAGUAAAGUGUGUGUGUGUGCUCAGCAUCAGUGCGACCAAUCGGCUCUCUCCGUCUGCUAAUGAGUGUGAAUGUGUGCCUUUGCUGCUGUAACCAAUCACAGGGCUCCAAACUAAAAAAUAGAGUAAGGAGCCAUUGGCUUCUAUAAGAAAAAACGUAGGCGCCAAAUUAUUUUUUUUAGGUGCCACAAAACGUGUUUUAUGUAUUUUAUUAUUAUUAUUAUUAUUAUUAUUUUUACUAUUUUAACUUUUUCUAUCAUACUGUCAUUGGCCACUGAGUGUAGUUUGGGCUCCUCCUCAAUGCAUUCUGUAAA
rnacentral:lncRNA from 1 species